GAUGGUUACAACUGGUUGGUUAGAGUGUGGUGUUGAGAAUGCCAAGGUUGCAGGUUCGAUCCCCGUAUGGAACG